UUAGAUGGCGACCGGCGCACGGGUGAGUAACACGUAUCCAACCUGCCGAUAACUCGGGGAUAGCCUUUCGAAAGAAAGAUUAAUACCCGAUGGCAUAAUUAGACCGCAUGGUCUUAUUAUUAAAGAAUUUCGGUUAUCGAUGGGGAUGCGUUCCAUUAGGCAGUUGGUGAGGUAACGGCUCACCAAACCUUCGAUGGAGUAGGGGUUCUGAGAGGAACGGUCCCCCACAUUGGAACUGAGACACGGUCCAA
rnacentral:rRNA from 1 species